rnacentral:tRNA from 1 species
GCCGUGGCUUAGUGGCAGAACCUCUGCUUGGCAUGUAGAACGUCCCAGGUUCAAUCCCUGAUAUCACCA